rnacentral:rRNA from 1 species
AUUGAACGCUGGCGGCAUGCCUUACACAUGCAAGUCGAACGGUAACGCGGGGCAACCUGGCGACGAGUGGCGAACGGGUGAGUAAUGCAUCGGAACGUGCCCAGUAGUGGGGGAUAGCCCGGCGAAAGCCGGAUUAAUACCGCAUACGACCUACGGGUGAAAGCGGGGGACCGUAAGGCCUCGCGCUAUUGGAGCGGCCGAUGUCAGAUUAGGUAGUUGGUGGGGUAAAGGCCUACCAAGCCUACGAUCUGUAGCUGGUCUGAGAGGACGACCAGCCACACUGGGACUGAGACACGGCCCAGACUCCUACGGGAGGCAGCAGUGGGGAAUUUUGGACAAUGGGCGCAAGCCUGAUCCAGCCAUGCCGCGUGCGGGAAGAAGGCCUC